rnacentral:tRNA from 1 species
AAGCAAGAAGCGAUUAAUUGCACUCAGUUUCGACCUGAUCCUAGAUACUCACCCUAUCCUUGCUUU